rnacentral:misc_RNA from 1 species
GUAGUCAAAACAUGCUUUGAAAUCUGCCAAGUCAUCUUCGGUUUGCUCUGCAAUUUUGUAAUAGUGAAGCAAUGAAGCAAGUAAACAACUAUUUCAAUACCACAUGCACAAUUAUGCUCCCAUCCAAUAACAUAUCUUUAUGAAAGUGCACCUCCUAUCAAUACUAACAGGCAAAGAAGAAAACUACUAAUCCAAAAUGUCUUAAAGAUCAUAUUAGCAUUAUUGCCUUUAUGCAAAUAUUGCAUUCAAUAGAUACUGAUAACCCAAUCUAAGAGAAUUAAGGUGGGAAAACGGUGCAAAAAGAAGCUGUAGAGUUUGUUUACAUACAAUUCUUGAAAGCAAGUGCUAGUUAUAUUCCUUGGCAGCGUGUUAACAAGGCAGCAAUUAACAGAACUAAGCUCCCACAUUCAGGGCCAGUCCAAAAGCUUCUUCUUUUUGUUUUUUUCCUGCUUCUCAGCCCCUUUUAUGUUUGCAGGCAAUUCAUUGAAUAACGUUCUUUAUGCUUAUUUAACAUAGAAAAGAAUUUCACAAUUGAAAAGCAAACUCAAAACUACAAAAUCUUGCAAAGGCACUAAGAUUCUCUCCCUCAGAGAAUGAAUAAUACGAUCAAAAGAACACCUGAUUACUCAACCCAAAAAAAAAAAAA